rnacentral:sRNA from 1 species
GGGUGCUGUGGUGCACACCUGUAAUCCCAGCAGCUUGGGAGGCUGAGGCAGGAGGAUUGCGAGUUCAAAGCCAGCCUCAGCAAAAGUGAGGCGCUAAGGAACUCAGUGAGACCCUGUCUCUA